rfam:Beta vulgaris subsp. vulgaris chromosome 7, whole genome shotgun sequence.
GCCUCCAAUGAUGAUGAAAACUGAUAAAACUUUCGUUCUUCUGAUAUAUUCCAUGUGGAAAAAAAUUGGAGACCUGAACUGAGGAGGC